rnacentral:lncRNA from 1 species
AUGGAGGCAACCUCUAAAAUUACAUUCUAUUCAAUGAUGAUGUUAUUAAACGAUUCGGACAUUGGCCGUCCUGGUUCUUGGACCUUCAGACUUGAACUGCGACUUACAACCAUAGCCUCCUCUGAUUCUCAGGCCUUCAAAUUUGGACUGGAAACACACCCAACCCCACUGGCUUUCCUAGGCUUCCAGCUGACAGACAGCACAUUGUGGGACAGCCUCCAUAAGUCUAGUGACCCAAUUCUUCAUAAUAAAUAUCUUUCUCUGUAUCUGCAUAUCUUUCUUUGAUUCUGUAUCUCUGGCUUUCUCUGCCUAAUACACCCAUUCAGUUUAAACUGUGGUUGCUUGAGCACCCACAGAAUGCUUUCAGAGAGUCAAAAGAAAUGAAAAUAUGACUCCUUAAUACAGAUGGGAUUAGGAGGUAACCUCUAGAAUUACAUUCUAUUAAAUGACGAUAUUAUUAAAUGAUGUAGUGAACGUUCCUGGCAAUAGUAAUUCUGCAAGUUGAGAGCUGGAGUUGUUGAGACCUUUGUGGGCAGAUUGGAAAAGCUUCUUGAGUCAGUAGGACACCCCAGAGUGUUUCUUCUUUCUCUCUUUCUUUCUUUUUUCUCUCUCUCUUUCUUUCUUUUUCUUUUUCUUUCUCUCUCUUUUUCCUUUCUUUCUCUCCUUCUCUCUCCCUCCCUCUCUCUCUCUCUUUCUUUCUCUCUCUCUCCCUUUCUUUCUUUCUUUCUUUCUUUCUUUCUUUCUUUCUUUCUUUCUUUCUUUCUUUCUUUCUUUCUUUCUUUCUUUCUUCCUUUCUUUUCUUUCUUUUUCUCUUUCUCUCUUUUUUUCUUGAGACUCCUUAGACAGAGUCUCACUCUGUCACCCAGGCUGGAGUGCAGUGGUGCAAUCUUGGGUCACUGCAACCUCCACCUCCUGGUUUCAAGAGAUCCUGCCUCAGUCUCCUGAGUAGCUGGGAUUACAGAUGCCUGUUACCAGACCUGGCUAAUUUUUGUAAUUUUAGUAGAGACGGCAUUUCACCAUGUUGGCCAAGCUGGUCUGGAACUCCUGACCUCAGGUGAUCUGCUCACCUCAGCCUCCCAAAGUGCUUGGAUUACAGGUGUGAGCCACCAUGCCCAGGCCCACAGAGUGUUUCUUCUCCUCUCCUAAUCAGGUCCUCUGUGAUCUUGUCACACAGCUUUUAUUAACUACUUAACAACUGGUAAAAUGUCCAAUGAAGUAUUUUUUUAAAUUUCCCCAGGAUUGAGAUCUGUAUUACAGUUUUUUUGUGAGAUUAAAUUUUAUUACCCAGGUUCAGAUCUUAAAAGAUUUAAUGAAGUUGAGUCAUUUUAAUAUCACACAGGAGGGGGAAACAAUUUUCUUUCUGUACACUGGGAACACUAUGUAUGAUGGUUAGAUGUCAAGACAGAUCAAGGUACUAAUUUAACAGUGUGUGAGGAAUUGGAAAACUCUUCUACUUCUUUGAAAUUUCAGAAUCUAUAUAUGUAUGGUUCACUUCAGAAACUAG